GCGGUGGCCUAAUGGUUAGUGCCCUGGACUCUGGAUCGAGUGGUCUGGGUUUGAACCCUGGCUGGGGUG